GGCUGGCGGCAGGCUAACACAUGCACGUCGAGUCGCGCCUUCGGGUGAGCGGCGGACGGGUUAGUACGGGAACGUGCCCUUCUCUACGGAAUAGCCUCUGGAAACGGAGAGUAAUACCGUAUACGCCCUUUGGGGGAAAGAUUUAUCGGAGAAGGAUCGGCCCGCGUUAGAUUACGGUAGUUGGUGGGGUAACGGCCUACCAAGCCUACGAUCUAUAGCUGGUUUUAGAGGAUGAUCAGCAACACUGGGACUGAGACACGGCCCAGACUCCUACGGGAGGCAGCAGUGGGGAAUCUUAGACAAUGGGGGCAACCCUGAUCUAGCCAUGCCGCGUGACUGAUGAAGGCCUUAGGGUCCUAAACUCUUUCGCCUGUAGAUGAUAAUGACAGCAGCAGGCAAAGAAACCCAGCUAACUCCGUACCCGCAGCCGACGUACUACAGAGAGGUAACGCUGUCGCAAUACUGAGCGUAAAGCGCGCGUAG
rnacentral:rRNA from 1 species